GCGGUAAUGUGAGGAAGCCUCCCGCCAAACAGAUGAGGGAGGAGGAGGAGGGGAGAGGCCAGAGAGAGAAGCGGCUUUCGGGAAGGAAAGUGUGAUCUAGUAGGUGGAAUAGUCCUCUCCAAACUUUGACCUGAGGCCUUAAAUUCCACAACCUCAUCAUCUACCACCUUUGGUGCUUUCAGAAUCAUGACUCUCAAUGUUGAAGAAUGGGCUACUGCAUGGAAGGUGCUGAUCCUUUUAGAGGCAGCCGUGGAAGAGGAAAAGAGAUCAGAAGAGAAAAGGAUAUUGGUUUGCGGAACAUGUGGGACAAGAAGUUCCCAGAAGAAUUUGUGAGCAACUUCCCGACAGUAAGGCCCUGGCUAGACCUCAGGAUGGUCCCUGCCUCCUGGACAUUAGGAAGCCCAAAGGCCAGAACAAAAACACAUGCCUAGUGGGGGAAGGCUCACUAAGAGGGCACCAAGUGGGGCAAAUACCCCUGGUAACCCAUUUAUGGAGGCUGCCACAGAAAUGCUAGUUGGAAAUUUUCCUCCUUCAGUCUAUCAUGAAUUUCUUUUUUCUCUUUUGAGAUGAAGUCGCCCGGGCUGCAGUUCAGUGGUGCAAUCUCAGCUCACUGCAAGCUCUGCCUCCCAGGUUCCAACGAUUGUCUUGUCUCAGCCUCCUGAGUAGCUGAGAUUAUAAGCACGCACCAUCAUACCCGACUAAUUUUUGUAUUUAUAGUAGAAAUGGGGUUUUG
rnacentral:lncRNA from 10 species